ACAAGGAGAGGGAAUUACACAUCACCUGAUUUUGGAUGCAUGUGUGAGGUAUGCUACUGUACUCACAAGACAUCUGAAACUAUACCCAGAUCAUCUAGAAGUGAACAUGUUCCAGGUGAUGUCCCUAUGUAAACCAAGGGUUGGUUUUCAGUGUUCUGGAGGCUGGGAUGUCCAAGGUCAAGAUGCUGACAGAUUGAUUGUCCCUGGAAAGCCUGCUUCAUAGAUGACCAUCUUCUCCGUGUGUUCUCCCUGUGUUCUCAGGAGUGGGGUUACCUUUCUGGUGCCUCUUUUUCAUAAGGACACUAUUCCCGUUCCUGAGGGCUCCAUUCUCAUAACACAACAUCCAGAAGGUCCUACAUUCUAAUAUCAUCAUACUGCAGAUUGGCAUGGUGUGGAUGGAAGUGAAGAAAAAUGUUCCAGGUUGCUUGUGCAAGACUUUCAAAGUGAAAAGUGAGCCAAAUUGAGGGAACCCUAAUAUAAUUUCUAACAAUGGAAACAGCAUCUCUUCUACAGUCUCUCUCUCUUUAAAUUCUAAUUUAGAGAUUAGUUUAAAAAAGAGUAAAAAAGAUGGUAGAAAUUUUUUUAAAGAAAAUUAAAUGAACAAAAUCUCAUGCAAGCUUUUGAUCAUGCUAAUAUAUGAAGAUAAAUUGUAAAUGAAAUGAGGAUUUGACAGAGACUCAUAUACAUUUAUACCUCUGAGUUUGGCAAAGACAUCUUGUUGAAAAAUGAUUGACUGCAGAGAAUAUAAGAAAAAGAUUAUUAAGAAAUCUGUUUUUUCAUGGAGUCAUAAAAUAUUGGGAUGAGAACGGAUCUUUUGAAUCAUAUUAUUUUUCAGCAUUUUUAGUGAGAAUACUGAUAGUCAGCAAUUUUAAAUGUCUUGCCCAGUGUCACAUGGGAGGUGAACUAAGCAGCAAUACCCCUGGACAUUGAGUCCCAUACAUUUGUACUCCACUCACGCUACCUCUUCUGUCUUACCACAGAAGAGAUGGUGACGCUAACUUAUUGACUUUUAAAAUAAGCAAAAAAUGAUUAAAAGGGAGAAGUUCUUUUGAAUUAGAUGAACUUCUUAAGCAUUAGUCAUGAAACGCUAAUGUUAGAACCAAUCUGUUCUCAAUUUUUGUAAUUUUGUCACUUAAAAGAACAAUAUUUAAAUGGAAUUUUGCAGCAGAUAAACUUUUGGGAUUGACUUUUUUCAUUCAAUAAUUAUCUGGAGAUUCAUCUAAAUUGUUGGGUAUGUCAAUAGUUUGUUCCUUUUUCUUUCAGAGUAGUAUUCCAUGGUAUGCAUAUACUACAAUUUGUUUAACCAUGACCAUUCACAGUUUGUUCAGCCACUCCAUGUUUUAACCAUUGAAAAACAUCUGAGCUUUUUCUAGUUUUUGGCUAUUUAUGUAUAAAACUGCUGUAAAAAAAGAAACUAUCAACAGAGUGAUCAGACAACCUGCAGAAUGGAAGAAAAUAUUUGCCAACAAGCAUAUGAAAAAACGCUCAAUAUCAGUAACCAUUAGAGAAAUGCAAAUUAAAAGCACAAUGGAGUACCAA
ensembl:lncRNA LINC02741 long intergenic non-protein coding RNA 2741